UACGUAGGGCGCAAGCGUUAUCCGGAAUUAUUGGGCGUAAAGAGCUCGUAGGCGGUUUGUCGCGUCUGCCGUGAAAGCCCGGGGCUCAACUCCGGAUCUGCGGUGGGUACGGGCAGACUAGAGUGAUGUAGGGGAGACUGGAAUUCCUGGUGUAGCGGUGAAAUGCGCAGAUAUCAGGAGGAACACCGAUGGCGAAGGCAGUUCUCUGGGCAUUAACUGACGCUGAGGAGCGAAAGCAUGGGGAGCGAACAGG
rnacentral:rRNA from 1 species